AUUGAACGCUGGCGGCAGGCCUAACACAUGCAAGUCGAGCGGCAGCGGAAAGUAGCUUGCUACUUUGCCGGCGAGCGGCGGACGGGUGAGUAAUGUCUGGGAAACUGCCUGAUGGAGGGGGAUAACUACUGGAAACGGUAGCUAAUACCGCAUAACGUCGCAAGACCAAAGAGGGGGACCUUCGGGCCUCUUGCCAUCAGAUGUGCCCAGAUGGGAUUAGCUAGUAGGUGAGGUAACGGCUCACCUAGGCGACGAUCCCUAGCUGGUCUGAGAGGAGGACCAGCCACACUGGAACUGAGACACGGUCCAGACUCCUACGGGAAGCAGCAGUGGGGAAUAUUGCACAAUGGGCGCAAGCCUGAUGCAGCCAUGCCGCGUGUAUGAAGAAGGCCUUCGGGUUGUAAAGUACUUUCAGCGGGGAGGAAGGCGAUAAGGUUAAUAACCUUGUCGAUUGACGUUGCCCGCAGAAGAAGCACCGGCUAACUCCGUGCCAGCCGCCGCGGUAAGAC
rnacentral:rRNA from 1 species